GAGGAAUAAGCAUCGGCUAACUCCGUGCCAGCAGCCGCGGUAAUACGGGGGAUGCAAGCGUUAUCCGGAAUCAUUGGGCGUAAAGCGCCUGUAGGUUGUUUAAUAAGUCUGUUGUUAAAGACUAGGGCUUAACCCUAGAAAAGCAAUGGAAACUACUAGACUAGAGUAUGGCAGGGGUAGAGGGAAUUUCUAGUGUAGCGGUGAAAUGCGUAGAUAUUAGAAAGAACACCAGUGGCGAAAGCGCUCUACUGGACCAUUACUGACACUCAGAGGCGAAAGCUAGGGUAGCAAAAGGGAUUAGAUACCCCUGUAGUCCUAGCCGUAAACGAUGGAUACUAGAUGUUGUGCUUCAUGUACAGUAUCGUAGCUAACGCGUUAAGUAUCCCGCCUGGGGAGUACGCUCGCAAGGGUGAAACUCAAAGGAAUUGACGGGGGCCCGCACAAGCGGUGGAGCAUGUGGUUUAAUUCGAUGCAACGCGAAGAACCUUACCAGGGCUUGACAUACUACAAAUUCUUUAGAGAUAGAGAAGUGCCUUCGGGAAUGUAGAUACAGGUGGUGCAUGGCUGUCGUCAGCUCGUGUCGUGAGAUGUUGGGUUAAGUCCCGCAACGAGCGCAACCCUUAUUUUUAGUUACUAAUUCGUUAGGUUUUCUAGAAAGACUGCCGGUGACAAACCGGAGGAAGGUGAGGAUGACGUCAAGUCAGCAUGCCCCUUAUGCCCUGGGCUACACACGUGCUACAAUGGUUAAGACAAAGAGUCGCGAGCUCGCGAGAGUCAGCUAAUCUCAUAAACUUAGCCUAAGUUCAGAUUGUAGGCUGCAACUCGCCUGCAUGAAG
rnacentral:rRNA from 1 species